rnacentral:rRNA from 1 species
AACGGACGCUGGCGGCAGGCCUAACACAUGCAAGUCGAGCGAGAUCUUCGGAUCUAGCGGCGGACGGGUGAGUAACGCGUGGGAAUAUGCCCUUUGGUACGGAAUAGCCCCGGGAAACUGGGAGUAAUACCGUAUGUGCCCUUCGGGGGAAAGAUUUAUCGCCAAAGGAUUAGCCCGCGUUGGAUUAGGUAGUUGGUGGGGUAAUGGCCUACCAAGCCGACGAUCCAUAGCUGGUUUGAGAGGAUGAUCAGCCACACUGGGACUGAGACACGGCCCAG